rnacentral:rRNA from 1 species
UGCCUACGGGUGGCUGCAGUGGGGAAUAUUGCACAAUGGGCGCAAGCCUGAUGCAGCAACGCCGCGUGAGGGACGACGGCCUUCGGGUUGUAAACCUCUUUUAGCAAGGAAGAAGCGAAAGUGACGGUACUUGCAGAAAAAGCACCGGCUAACUACGUGCCAGCAGCCGCGGUAAUACGUAGGGUGCAAGCGUUAUCCGGAAUUAUUGGGCGUAAAGAGCUCGUAGGCGGUUUGUCACGUCUGCUGUGAAAUCUGGGGGCUCAACCCCCAGCCUGCAGUGGGUACGGGCAGUCUAGAGUGCGGUAGGGGAGAUUGGAACUCCUGGUGUAGCGGUGGAAUGCGCAGAUAUCAGGAAGAACACCGAUGGCGAAGGCAGAUCUCUGGGCCGUAACUGACGCUGAGGAGCGAAAGGGUGGGGAGCAAACAGGAUUAGAUACCCGAGUAGUCC